AUACGUAGGGGGCGAGCGUUGUCCGGAAUGAUUGGGCGUAAAGGGCGCGUAGGCGGCGCGGUAAGUCUGGAGUGAAAGUCCUGCUUUCAAGGUGGGAAUUGCUUUGGAUACUGCCGCGCUUGAGUGCAGGAGAGGUUAUCGGAAUUCCCGGUGUAGCGGUGAAAUGCGUAGAGAUCGGGAGGAACACCAGUGGCGAAGGCGGGUAACUGGACUGCAACUGACGCUGAGGCGCGAAAGUGUGGGGGGCAAACAGGAUUAGAUACCCUGGUAGUCCACACUGUAAACGAUGAAUGCUAGGUGUAAGAGGUAUCGACCCCUUUUGUGCCGGAGUCAACACAAUAAGCAUUCCGCCUGGGGAGUACGGCCGCAAGGUUGAAACUCAAAUGAAUUGACGGGG
rnacentral:rRNA from 1 species